GAAAUAUUCAGUGCUUGGCCUGAAUCUUGCAGAUAUCCCUGCAUAUUUUGCCAGACAUUUGCUGCAUUCCUUCAAGCUUCUCAGGAACUUUUUAGCAACAGUGUUGAGAGCAAUGCAUCAUAGAGUGUGAAGAACACAGGUUCUGUUUCUUACAGCUUCCUCCCCACUGCUCUGUUUCCCUUUUGCAGCUUCCUAGGAAAGAAAUACGUGAAGGAUGGGCUGUGCUUUAAAAAGCUGAAUCACUAAACUCAAAUCCCAACAGCAGCACAACCACCUUGAAUGAAAAUUAAGUUUUUAACAUCUGAGAACCCAUACAGACUGGUUAAAAGCAGGACUAUGGUUCAGUAUUGCACUCCAUUCUAUAAAUUAUUUUAAUCUGGAAGUUUUCUAAGAAAGUUUUCACACUCUGUUGAUGAUCCAGUGUACAAGAGAGGUAUGUAUGGAUGGAAAGUGAUGCUCCAUUAGCAUGGAUGGGCAUGCUCUAGUGUUGUUUACUGUCUAAGAAGAUGUUUCACAUGACCUGCAGAGUGGGAAGUACAGCAGGCAGCCUAGAGGCACCGCAGCCAGAAGAGAAACGGGAGGAGGAUGUGGAAAUAAUUGGAAAUCUCUGGGUUCCAGAAAGUCAGCAGAGAGCAUGCCAGCACCCUUAAGCUAAGGAGGGCCCUGGGAGAGGGUGCAGUUUGCAUAUUUGGAAGGAGAGCGGGAAGCAUGUGUUGAUGAGACAGUGUGAAGGUCUGUGAACUGCAGGAGAGGCAUUCUAGGUGGGAACCACGCCCUGGCUCU
rnacentral:lncRNA from 1 species